rnacentral:SRP_RNA from 1 species
UGGAAUGAUGACACAUGUCUGUAAUCCUGCUACCAAGGAAGCUGAGGCUGGAGAAUCUUUUGAGCUCAAAAGUUCUGAGCUUCAGUGGGUUCAGUCAAUCUGGUGUCUGAAGUAAGUUUGGCAUUAAUAUGAUGAUCCCCCAGGAUCAGGGGGUCACCAGGUUGCCUAAGGAAGGGCAAACCAGCUCAUGUUGCAAACAAAGCAGGACAAAGUUCCUUUGCUGAUCAGUGGUAGGAUUAGGCCUAUGAGUAGCCCCUGCACUUCCAGCCUGAGCAACACAGGGAGACUAGUCUUU